GUAACACCAAAGGAUAGAGUGACCAAUGCUUACUGAAAGUGACAAGAGAAGACAAGUUCUGUGAGUCAUCCAGAGCCUUCCAGACCCUCCUUUCAUAUCGGACAACGAAAGAACCCGCCCUGCUACCUCCAUUCUGUGAGAUUGUUGUCACGUCUAAAUAUAGCCAAGAUAUCUUCAUCUCCAUAUCGAAUGUGGGAGUACCCGGCAAAAAAAACCCAGCAAGCAUGUGGAAAACAUUCAAACUCUAAAUAGGAAGUCCCAAGCUGCAGUUCAUCCUCAGAACCUGUUGAUGGUGUGGCUGACAUGAGGCAAAAUGGACCUGGGAACAAUUCUGGUCAGUUUUGGAAAGUUUGGGAUUCAUACAUGAGGAAAACAAGGAUCUCCUGGAGUGGCAGGUAUGGCACAGCACAGCACAGCGUUUCCAUGGAAACACACUCUGGCAUUUGCUGUACAAGUGCCAACCGUCUCAGUACACAACACCGCCUCUGUUUUCACCCCCAAACAUCACUGUAAAAAACAAAACAAAAAACAAAUAAAUUUCCUUACCUGCCUUUGGUACCUGCCCUCUUUUGUCAAGUCACAAGUUGUGUCUUUUCUUCUCUCUGCCUUUCGCCCUCCUUUCGUCUUUAGCCGUCCACUCCCUCUCUCCCUCGCUGUCCCUCACCCUCCCCAUCCUUAUUCCUUUCCUCUCUCUCUUUGAGUUUGGCUUUUUUCCCUUUUGAGGUCACAGUGCCUCUUUCUUCUCGACCCGUGAUUUUGACUCUUCAGAGAGUCCAUCUCGGCUCGCUUCAGUGAGCAAGUAACACGGUCACUGCGGUGUAUUUGCACGGAUGCAAAAACGUGGGAAAGAUGGAACAUUAGUUAUUUGCUCAGAGCCGCCCAGCUGGGAUUG